AUGCACGCUGGCCGCGUGCCUAAUACCUGCCAGUCGAGCGAACAGAUGAGGAGCUUGCUCCUCUGACGUUAUCGGCGGACGGGUGAGUAACACGUGGAUAACCUACCUAUAAGACUGGGAUAACUUCGGGAAACCGGAGCUAAUACCGGAUAAUAUAUUGAACCGCAUGGUUCAAUAGUGAAAGACGGUUUUGCUGUCACUUAUAGAUGGAUCCGCGCCGCAUUAGCUAGUUGGUAAGGUAACGGCUUACCAAGGCAACGAUGCGUAGCCGACCUGAGAGGGUGAUCGGCCACACUGGAACUGAGACACGGUCCAGACUCCUACGGGAGGCAGCAGUAGGGAAUCUUCCGCAAUGGGCGAAAGCCUGACGGAGCAACGCCGCGUGAGUGAUGAAGGUCUUCGGAUCGUAAAACUCUGUUAUUAGGGAAGAACAAAUGUGUAAGUAACUAUGCACGUCUUGACGGUACCUAAUCAGAAAGCCACGGCUAACUACGUG
rnacentral:rRNA from 1 species